rnacentral:rRNA from 1 species
ACACAUGCAAGUCGAGGGGCAGCAUGGUCUUAGCUUGCUAAGGCCGAUGGCGACCGGCGCACGGGUGAGUAACGCGUAUCCAACCUGCCUUACACUCUUGGACAGCCUUCUGAAAGGGAGAUUAAUACAAGAUGUUAUCAUGAGUAAGCAUUUUCACAUGAUUAAAGGUUUACCGGUGUAAGAUGGGGAUGCGUUCCAUUAGAUAGUAGGCGGGGUAACGGCCCACCUAGUCUUCGAUGGAUAGGGGUUCUGAGAGGAAGGUCCCCCACAUUGGAACUGAGACACGGUCCAAACUCCUACGGGAGGCAGCAGUGAGGAAUAUUGGUCAAUGGACGAGAGUCUGAACCAGCCAAGUAGCGUGAAAGACGAAGGUUCUAUGGAUUGUAAACUUCUUUUAUACGGGAAUAAACGAAUCCACGUGUGGAUUUUUGCAUGUACCGUAUGAAUAAGGAUCGGCUAACUCCGAGCCAGCAGCCGCGGUAAUACGGAGGAUCCGAGCGUUAUCCGGAUUUAUUGGGUUUAAAGGGAGCGUAGAUGGGUUGUUAAGUCAGUUGUGAAAGUUUGCGGCUCAACCGUAAAAUUGCAAUUGAUACUGGCAGUCUUGAGUACAGUUGAGGUAGGCGGAAUUCGUGGUGUAGCGGUGAAAUGCUUAGAUAUCACGAAGAACUCCGAUUGCGAAGGCAGCUUACUAACCUGUAACUGACAUUGAUGCUCGAAAGUGUGGGUAUCAAACAGGAUUAGAUACCCUGGUAGUCCACACGGUAAACGAUGAAUACUCGCUGUAGGCGAUAUACAGUCUGCGGCCAAGCGAAAGCAUUAAGUAUUCCACCUGGGG